GGCCUCCCUCUGUGGGGCAAUCGAUCGCCGGGCCCCCUGAUCCAUGGCCCCACAGAGGGAGGCC
rnacentral:pre_miRNA from 1 species